UACGGGGGGGCAAGCGUUGUUCGGAAUUACUGGGCGUAAAGGGCUCGUAGGUGGCCAACUAAGUCAGACGUGAAAUCCCCCGGCUUAACCGGGGAACUGCGUCUGAUACUGGAUGGCUUGAGUUCGGGAGAGGGAUGCGGAAUUCCAGGUGUAGCGGUGAAAUGCGUAGAUAUCUGGAGGAACACCGGUGGCGAAGGCGGCUCUCUGGACCGAGACUGACGCUGAGGCGCGAAAGCGUGGGGAGCAAACAGG
rnacentral:rRNA from 1 species